AUAUUUGCAAGUCUCCAUAGCACUGCUACUAGCUCGAACACUCAUUCUAUCAACGUCAAAAUAGCCUCCAAAUUUCAAAGAUGUAUGCGUGUGCAAUUGCAUGUGUUGUGCGUUUUUAUUCACACCAACAAAUCAUGACUCCUGUCUCUACGAAAGAAAUACAAUGCCUAUUAAGAUAGCAUUAACCUCCAAAUAUUUCUUAUGUUCAUGCUAGUAGCAGAGCUGUG